ACGGUAAACCGUUCUAUCGCUGCUUUGCAAAAAGGAGAGGAAAGUCCGGGCAAUACAGAGUAGCAUACUUCCUAACGGGAAGAAGGUCGAAAGAUCUUAGUAGUAGAGCAGAAAAUAACCGCCUUCGGGUAAGGGUGAAAAGGUGAGGUAAGAGCUCACCAGUGCUGGUGGCGACAUCGGUAGCUGUGUACCUUAUGUAUUGCAAGAUCAAGUAUACCGGCAGUUUUAGGCUUACUCGGCCGAUGUCGGGGGGUAGAUUGCUUGAGGCAUUUGGCAACAAAUGUUCUAGAUAAAUGAUAGAAGUUCUUUUCGAAGAAUACAGAACCCGGCUUAUAGGUUUACCAUUACU
rnacentral:RNase_P_RNA from 1 species